GACGAACGCUGGCGGCGUGCUUAACACAUGCAAGUCGAACGAUGAAGCCGGAGCUUGCUCCGGUGGAUUAGUGGCGAACGGGUGAGUAACACGUGAGCAAUCUGCCCUUGACUCUGGGAUAACUGCGGGAAACUGUAGCUAAUACCGGAUACGACACCUUGGGGCAUCCCAGGGUGUGGAAAGAAUUUCGGUCAAGGAUGAGCUCGCGGCCUAUCAGCUAGUUGGUGAGGUAAUGGCUCACCAAGGCGACGACGGGUAGCCGGCCUGAGAGGGUGACCGGCCACACUGGAACUGAGACACGGUCCAGACUCCUACGGGAGGCAGCAGUGGGGAAUAUUGCACAAUGGGCGAAAGCCUGAUGCAGCAACGCCGCGUGAGGGAUGAAGGCCCUCGGGUUGUAAACCCCUUUUAGCAGGGAAGAAGCGAAAGUGACGGUACCUGCAGAAAAAGCACCGGCUAACUACGUGCCAGCAGCCGCAGUAA
rnacentral:rRNA from 1 species